GGGCGUCAAAGCUUACCAAAGAAUAUCAAACUCCGAAUGCCAUGUAGAUGAUGAAUGGGAGUCAGACUGCACGAGAUAAGUUGGGUGGUCAAAAGGGAAAGAGCCCAGACCUACAGCUAAGGUCCCAAAGUGCGUGUUAAGUGGAAAAGGAUGUGGGAUUUCGAAGACAACUAGGAUGUUGGCUCAGAAGCAGCCACACAUUAAAAGAGUGCGUAAUAGCUCACUAGUCGAGAGGUCCUGCGCCGAAAAUGUCCGGGGCUGAAACACGACACCGAAGCUUAGGAAUCACAUAGUGAUUGGUAGAGGAGCAUUCUUAAAACCGACGAAGCUGUACCGGAAGGAGCAGUGGAGGGAUAAGAAGAGAGAAUGCCGGAAUGAGUAGCGAGAGGAAGGUGGGAAUCCUUCCGGCCGAAUAUCUAAGGUUUCCAGAGUAAAGCUGAUCUGCUCUGGGUAAGUCGGGGCCUAAGGAGAGGUCGCAAGACGUAUCCGAUGGACAACAGGUUUAGAUUCCUGUACCGCAUAUAAACAGAACUGUGGGGACGCAUGUGGAAAGCAUAAGCCGGGAAUGGAAAGACCGGUACAAGCGGGGUAGGUGUGUGACAGGCAAAUCCGUCACAUAAGCCGAAGACGUGAUGUGGAGCGAAAUUAAGUAGUGAAGUAUGUGAGCCAUGUGCCGAGAAAAGCCGCUAUUGUUUUAUAUGUGCCCGUACCGUAAACCGACACAGGUGGAUGAGGAGAGAAUCCUAAGGCCGACGGAAGAAGCAUUGUUAAGGAAUUCGGCAAAAUGACCCCGUAACUUCGGGAGAAGGGGUGCCCACUGAAUGGUGGGCCGCAGAGAAUAGGCUCAAGCAACUGUUUAGCAAAAACACAGGUCUAUGCGAAACCGAAAGGUGAGGUAUAUGGGCUGACGCCUGCCCGGUGCUGGAAGGUUAAGAGGAGAGGUUAGCGCAAGCGAAGCUUUGAAUUUAAGCCCCAGUAAACGGCGGCCGUAACUAUAACGGUCCUAAGGUAGCGAAAUUCCUUGUCGGGUAAGUUCCGACCCGCACGAAAGGCGUAAUGAUUUGAGCACUGUCUCGACAAUGCAUCCGGUGAAAUUGAAGUACCAGUGAAGAUGCUGGUUACCUGCGCCAGGACGGAAAGACCCCAUGGAGCUUUACUCCAGCUUGAUACUGGGAUUCGGUAUUGCAUGUACAGGAUAGGUGGGAGACUAGGAGACAUGAACGCCAGUUUGUGUGGAGUCGCCCUUGGGAUACCACCCUUGCA
rnacentral:rRNA from 1 species